UAUUGGGCGUAAAGAGCUCGUAGGCGGUUUGUCGCGUCUGCUGUGAAAGCCCGGGGCUUAACCCCGUGGUGUGCAGUGGGUACGGGCAGACUAGAGUGCAGUAGGGGAGACUGGAAUUCCUGGUGUAGCGGUGAAAUGCGCAGAUAUCAGGAGGAACACCGAUGGCGAAGGCAGGUCUCUGGGCUGUUACUGACGCUGAGGAGCGAAAGCAUGGGGAGCGAACAGGAUUAGAUACCCUGGUAGUCCAUGCCGUAAACGUUGGGCACUAGGUGUGGGGGACAUUCCACGUUUUCCGCGCCGUAGCUAACGCAUUAAGUGCCCCGCCUGGGGAGUACGGCUGCAAGGCUAAAACUCAAAGGAAUUGACGGGGGCCCGCACAAGCGGCGGAGCAUGCGGAUUAAUUCGAUGCAACGCGAAGAACCUUACCAAGGCUUGACAUACACCAGACCGGCCCAGAGAUGGGUUUUCCUCUUUGAGGUUGGUGUACAGGUGGUGCAUGGUUGUCGUCAGCUCGUGUCGUGAGAUGUUGGGUUAAGUCCCGCAACGAGCGCAACCCUCGUUCUAUGUUGCCAGCACGUGAUGGUGGGGACUCAUAGGAGACUGCCGGGGUCAACUCGGAGGAAGGUGGGGAUGACGUCAAAUCAUCAUGCCCCUUAUGUCUUGGGCUUCACGCAUGCUACAAUGGCCGGUACAAUGGGUUGCGAUACCGUGAGGUGGAGCUAAUCCCAAAAAGCUGGUCUCAGUUCGGAUCGUGGUCUGCAACUCGACCACGUGAAGUCGGAGUCGCUAGUAAUCGC
rnacentral:rRNA from 1 species